ensembl:lncRNA
GCUGCUACAGCUGCCUCAGGACUGGAGAGCCAACCCAGCUCCUACUCCUCUGUCAGCACUGCAUGGAUACGCAGCCAUUGCAAUGCACCACAUGAGGCCAGGAAUCCGAACUGGGACCUUAAUUCCAACAACUACAUUAUUGCACCUGGAAAAAUGAGACCAAAGGAAGCCCCCAGGGAAGGAUCGGAUGGAGAUGCAGCAAUGCGAUGGAUGCUGCAAGAAUGCCUUUGGAGGAUGGGCAAGGAAUGAGCAGCAUAUUUGUGUCUGAAAGGAACAAAAAUCAUACAGAACUCCUGAAAUAUACAUCAGAACAUUCAUCCUGCAGCUCAGCCCAGGAGGAAGGCGUUGAGAGGAGAGGCAGCACUCAGUAGAGCCGCCCUCACCCACAGAAACCCAAAUUCAAGCUGGAUUCCUCAUUUUCUCUGGGAAGACUGACAUGGAUGAUUUCAAUGCAGUGGGUUGUUGGGCGCCGUCUUUCAAAUAGGAGUUUUGCAUUAAAAACUGGAAACAAAAUGAAGCCAACUUCAAGUGCUAACCCAGAAAGAGGCUUAACAUCUUCUCCAAUCUAUCUGCUGGUCUUCUUUUGUUUCUAACACUGAAAGCUGAGUUCCGCUGUGUAUCAAAACAACUUUUGAAAUACUGAUAUGGAAGAAAAAGUCUUGUUUUGAAACAGGUCACUUGGAAAUCAAUACUCAAAACAUUACACUACUAUAGAGACUGUCACCUAUAUAAUAAUCCCAUUUACUUGUUAGAAGAAAGCUUAAAUAUUCAGAAGGAAUGAAUUAGCAUAGUGUUUCCAUUGGAAACUAACCAGAGGGUAGGUGUGCUCUUGCAUUUGGGUAGAUGCAGUCAUUCAAACUAUUCUGCUUUGCCCUGCUUUCCUCUGCUGAGGGGGUCAGAACAAAUAAAACACUUUAAUUCGGUUUAUAUUCCAUUUCAUUUUUCCAAUCCCAGAUAGUUAACCACGCUAUACAGAGCCAACAGAAUUGGUUAAACACCGGUGUCUCACUGGCACGCUCACACGCAUUGCAGAUACAUACACAGACAUAUGGAAUGUGUGCAGAAAAUGAACUGUGAAUCAGUUAAACGUAGAAGGCAGGAUUCCCACACAUCCACUAGAAGGCAAUUAGGGAGGAGGCAGCGGCUGAGGAACAGCCAG